rnacentral:rRNA from 1 species
GUCCACGCCCUAAACGAUGUCAACUGGUUGUUGGGUCUUCACUGACUCAGUAACGAAGCUAACGCGUGAAGUUGACCGCCUGGGGAGUACGGCCGCAAGGUUGAACUCAAAGGAAUUGACGGGGACCCGCACAAGCGGUGGAUGAUGUGGUUUAAUUCGAUGCAACGCGAAAACCUUAACCCACCUUUGACAUGUACGGAAGUCGCUAGAGAUGGCUUCGUGCUCGAAAGAGAACCGUAACACAGGUGCUGCAUGGCUGUCGU